rnacentral:rRNA from 1 species
UACGUAGGGGGCAAGCGUUGUCCGGAAUCAUUGGGCGUAAAGGGCGCGUAGGCGGCAAUUCAAGUCAGCUGUGAAAUCUCCGAGCUUAACUCGGAACGGUCAGCUGAUACUGUUUUGCUAGAGUACAGAAGGGGCAAUCGGAAUUCUUGGUGUGAGCGGUGAAAUGCGUAGAUAUCAAGAGGAACACCUGAGGUGAAGACGGGUUGCUGGGCUGAUACUGACGCUGAGGCGCGAAAGCUAGGGUAGCAAACGGG